rnacentral:lncRNA from 1 species
AGAAAGAGGGUUGAAACCUUCAUGACAAUGCUAGAGAAUUAACAGUGAGAGAUGCAUUAAGCAACAACACAGUUUUGCCUUUUACAAGCUCCCUGAGGUUUUUAUUUCACUCAAGAAUUUUCUUAAACACAAAAUGGACUAACUAUGACUAGUGUUUAUACUCAAGUUUGAAGAACAGUAAGAAAGAUGAGGUACAAUACUCAUUAAAAUUUUCAUCAUGCUAAAUUCACAGAAAUACUGAAUAGAAGACAGAAAAAGGGGCAAUGCCAUCAUUAAGGCAAGGCUCUCUACUUACAGGUAAAUUGUCUUGUGAUUAUUUCCACAGAACUCUGACUUGGAUAAGGACUUGCAUCCAUUUUAUUAUGAUGUUCUUCUUUUUUACAAUUUAGUUCCCCAGAGGGCAAGACCAAG